NNNUCGACCUGCUCGGGGAUGCUUCCUCGUUUCCGGGCAGUUUCCCACACUGCAGGUCUGAUUACUGCCCGGCAGCUUGCGUGACGUCGACUUGGCGGAAGUCGUGUGCGUCACUCGGGACACCUGUAAUCUGUAUCUACGUUUCCACCAUAAUCCUAAUGUUCGCUGUUUUUUGGUUUUUUUGUGUUUUUUUUUUUUGGCCAGGCUAGCCUCGAACCCAUGGGCUCAAAUAGAUCAUUAUUAUAAAUUAAGUCAAUCACAGACUUUAAUCUGUCCUUUCUUCUCUCUCUAAAAAAAGACAUUUUAGUCCAUUAGACAUAUUGUCCUGGAUCCUUGGCUAUCAGAACACCACCUUCUUCGGCGGAGACCACAUAACCAUGAUCGAUGACCUCUUCUGGCCCUGGUUCGAGCGGCUGGAUGUGUACGGGAUCGCAGAGCCCUCCUGGCUGCUGGCUCCUCCGUGUUGUGCCGAGUAAACAGUUCCCAGGUGCUACUCCCUGCCAGCUGGACAGAAAUGCGUCUGCGUGGUGAAGCUGGGCCGUCUGCAGUGCCAUCUGCUCCGGAUGUGGAGUCCCGUUGCCAUGGUACCCAAACUGAUGCGGGACAGAAUCUCACGAAGUCACUAAGUUGUACAGGCUGGGCUUGGAUUUAUGAUCCUCCUGCUUCAGCCUCCCAGGAUGCUGGGAUUGCAGAUGUACAUCACCCCGCCCAGCUCUCCUCUCUACAGAGGAAACUGAGUCACCGAUUUCUGGAUGAAACUAGAACUUAGCCCAUGGGAAAGAGAAGCGACUGAAUAACGCUCAAUGAGGAGCUUGCAUUGGGAGACUGGGGGCAGAAAUAAUACCAUAGGUUAAAAAAUACACAAAUAUACAAAUAGGAAAUCUGCUCUGAUCUGUGUCUCAGAGAUGACCACUUUUAACACCGGGUGUUAUCUUGUAAGAUGCCUUUCAAAGCUCAGGGUUGAGGGCAGGAGCUGCAUCUCCUGCAGACCGGAAGAGGAGAGAGUGCCGGUGUGGACCAUGUCAGCAGCAGAGUCAGCUGCGGCUGCCCUGCCUCCGAAGCUCUGAGCUGGAGCCCAGCUGGCCCAGUCCGGUUCCGUCCAGCGGAGGAGGGCGUCCCUGGCGCCUGGGUGUUUUGGAAACUCCUUCUGGCACUCGCAUUCCCUGACCCCAGAUGACAGAAGUGGCUCUGACAGCUGCAGGGCACUUGACAUACAUUGUGGGUCACAGGCGAGAGCUCCCCUUCCGUGCUGCGGGGCUGCCUGCCCGGGGCUGGCUUGGGAGUGGUCUCUCCCCUGAUUUCUCACCUUCAGCCCUGUCCUUCGCCAGAGUCACAGCCUCCUUGAUGGAGGGAACUGGGCUGCUGGGUGGUGAGAGCCAGGCUCCCCUCCCCUGAGGCCAGACCAGCCUGCUUUGGUUUGUGAUUGGAAUUCUGAUUGACCCCAGGGCCAUGGUGCUGAGGUAUGUAUGCCCCAGCCAUUUACUUCUGUUGCUGCUCUUUUGAGACAGGGUCUUGCUAGUCACUACUCACCCAGGCUGGGCUCGGAUUUGUGAUCCUCCUGCUUCAGCCUCCUGAGUACUGGAACUAUAGGCGUGUGCCACCACGGCUGGCUGCAUACACUUCUUCACAGCCUUUCGAGGCAAACCCUAAUUACUCCCAUUUUACCGAGGAACAGCUGAGGCUUCAGAGUGGUGUAACUUACACAGAUGUCCCGUGGGUGGUGAUGCGCACAGCUGGAGCUUGGGUGGGACUGACCCCGGUCCUGUGUGCCCUUGACCGCUGCCCUCCUCCACCUCCCGUGGCCGUGAUGCCUCACCUCUGCCUUCCUGACCCCCCUGCUUCUCCCUGGACUGGGAGCCCUCUCUGGCCGGAUUGUGCCCCUCAGCUUCGUUUCCCCAGCCUGGUACACAGGAUAUGUGGCAGUGACAGCCUCCCAAUGUGUGUUUUGUGAAUGAGAAGUGCAGGGACAGGCUGGGGUGAGCGGAUGAAGGCAUGGACGUGCCCAGGGCCUGUCUGGCUGUCACAGCUGCCUCCCCUGUCCUGAGAGGAACCUGCCCGCCCAGAGCAGUGGGAGUGACCCGCUGGGUGCAGAAAUGACGGGACUCCCUGGGCAGUGCUGCUGGGACCCGAACACAGCCCAAGCUCAUCCUGCUGGGAGACCCCGAGGCCCAGUGGGCAGGCCCUGGCCCGGGUCCACCCUGAGGGGCCGGGAGGCAAGGCAGGUGCUCUACUCUUCUCCAUCCUCUCUGGGUCAUUAAACGCUCAGCUGAGCAUUCUUGCUACUCGGCCUCUGUGUGUGCUCUGUAUAUAUGGGCAGUGGAGCUUCCCGCCCAGCUA
rnacentral:lncRNA from 1 species